UACAGAGGUCUCAAGCGUUGUUCGGAUUCAUUGGGCGUAAAGGGUGCGUAGGUGGCGCAGUAAGUCGGGUGUGAAAUUUCGGAGCUUAACUCCGAAACUGCAUUCGAUACUGCGGUGCUCGAGGACUGGAGAGGAGACUGGAAUUCAUGGUGUAGCAGUGAAAUGCGUAGAGAUCAUGAGGAAGACCAGUGGCGAAGGCGGGUCUCUGGACAGUUCCUGACACUGAGGCACGAAGGCCAGGGGAGCAAACGGG
rnacentral:rRNA from 1 species